rnacentral:misc_RNA from 1 species
AAGUCGUAACAAGGUUUCCGUAGGUGAACCUGCGGAAGGAUCAUUAACGAGUUAGGGUUCUUCUCGAGCCCGACCUCCCAACCCUUUGUCUACCUGACCUCUUGUUGCUUCGGCGGACCCGUCUUAACCGACCGCCGGGGGACCGUCGAACGUCCCCUGGCCCGCGUCCGUCGAUGGCCAUUCCAUUCAAAACUCCGAAUAAAUCGUGUCAUUUGUCUGAGUAAUUAACAAAAUUAAAGCAAAACUUUCAACAACGGAUCUCUUGGUUCUG